rnacentral:rRNA from 1 species
CGUAACAAGGUUUCCGUAGGUGAACCUGCGGAAGGAUCAUUACCACACCUAAAAACUAUCCACGUGAACUGUCUGAUCCGAUUCGCGCCGUGACGCGUGCUGCGGGUUUGUAAAAGAAUCUGCGGCGUGCGGGCUCGGCUGAUCGAAGGUUUCAUUGCUGCGAGCGUGUGCUUUUCGGAGCGCGCGUUUAGCGGCGGUGGGGCUGACUUACUCUUUCAAACCCCUUUACCGAAUGACUGAUGUAUACUGUGAGGACGAAAGUCUUUGCUUUGAACUAGAUAACAACUUUCAGCAGUGGAUGUCUAGGCUCGCACAUCGAUGAAGAACGCUGCGAACUGCGAUACGUAAUGCGAAUUGCAGAAUUCAGUGAGUCAUCGAAAUUUUGAACGCAUAUUGCACUUUCGGGUUAUGCCUGGAAGUAUGUCUGUAUCAGUGUCCGUACAUCAACCUUGCCUCUCUUUGUCGGUGUAGUCCGGUAUGGAGACGAGCAGAUGUGAAGUGUCUCGCGCGCUUUCGCUUGUGUGAAUGGCGCGAGUCCUUUUGAAACGACACGAUCUCUUCUAUUUGCCUUUAGCAAGUCGCUUUGGUUUGAACGCAUCGGUGUUUGGACUCGUUUGCAGUCUCCGGCGACCUUGGCUUUGGACAUUAUGGAGGGCACCUCACUUCGCGGUAUGUUAAGCUCUUUGUGGCUGAACAAUGUUGCGUUUGUGUGUGUGUGUAUUUCCGUCCUUGGCUUUGAGGUGUACUGUGAGGUUGUGGGCUUGAGUCCUUGUGCUGUGUGUUAGUAGGUCGGAGGCGAUGUGUUUGCUAUUGGAUGCUGCGCGAGUAUUCGCGUGGGUAGAGAGGUAGUAUUUGGGAACGAUUGUACUGCGCUCGCAAGGGCGUGUGUAUCUCAAUUGGACCUGAUAUCAGACAAGAGUACCCGCUGAACUUAAGCAUAUCAAUAAGCGGAGGAAAAGAAACA